rnacentral:rRNA from 1 species
UAGGGAAUCUUCCGCAAUGGACGCAAGUCUGACGGAGCAACGCCGCGUGAGUGAAGAAGGAUUUCGGUUCGUAAAACUCUGUUGUUAGAGAAGAACAGCGCAUAGAGUAACUGUUAUGCGUGUGACGGUAUCUAACCAGAAAGCCACGGCUAACUACGUGCCAGCAGCCGCGGUAAUACGUAGGUGGCAAGCGUUGUCCGGAUUUAUUGGGCGUAAAGCGAGCGCAGGCGGUUAGAAAAGUCUGAAGUGAAAGGCAGUGGCUCAACCAUUGUAGGCUUUGGAAACUGUUUAACUUGAGUGCAGAAGGGGAGAGUGGAAUUCCAUGUGUAGCGGUGAAAUGCGUAGAUAUAUGGAGGAACACCGGUGGCGAAAGCGGCUCUCUGGUCUGUAACUGACGCUGAGGCUCGAAAGCGUGGGUAGCAAACAGG